rnacentral:rRNA from 1 species
AGUGCGUUAAUGGCUCUAGACAUAUAGGGCGCGACGAUUACCGUAAGCGGUUCGAGGAAUGUCAGUCACUUGACUGAGACCCGUCAGACCUACGGAGCAGCAGUGGGAAUAUGACAAUGGGCGCAGGCUGAUGCAGCAUGCGCGUGUAUGAGAGUCUCGGAUGUAAAGCUACUUUCAGUGAGAGAAGGCAGUGAAGUAAUAACCUGCAGCUGAUUGACGUUACUAGCAGAAUGAAGCACGGCUAACUCGUGCCAGCAGCCGCGGUAAUACGGAGGGUGCAAGCGUAAUCGGAAUUACUGGGCGUAAAGCGCACGUCAGGUCGGUCUGGUAAGAUCAGAUUGGAAAUCCCCGGGCUCAACCUGGGAACUGCAUUCAGAAACUGGCAGGCUUGAGUCUGUAGAGGGGGGUAGAAUUUCCAGGUGUAGCGGUGAAAUGCGUAGAGAUCUGGAGGAAUACCGGUGGCGAAGGCGGCCACCUGGACAAAGACUGACGCUCAGGUGCGAAAGCGUGGGGAGCAAACAGGAUUAGAUACCCUGGUAGUCCACGCUGUAAACGAUGUCGACUAGGAGGUUGUUUCCUUGAGGAGUGGCUUCCGGAGCUAACGCGAUAAGUCGACCGCCUGGGGAGUACGGCCGCAAGGUUAAAACUCAAAUGAAUUGACGGGGGCCCGCACAAGCGGUGGAGCAUGUGGUUUAAUUCGAUGCAACGCGAAGAACCUUACCUACUCUUGACAUCCAGAGAACUUAGCAGAGAUGCGAGGGUGCCUUCGGGAAUUGUGAGACAGGUGCUGCAUGGCUGUCGUCAGCUCGUGUUGUGAAAUGUUGGGUUAAGUCCCGCAACGAGCGCAACCCUUAUCCUUUGUUGCCAGCGGUUCGGCCGGGAACUCAAAGGAGACUGCCAGUGAUAAACCGGAGGAAGGUGGGGAUGACGUCAAGUCAUCAUGGCCCUUACGAGUAGGGCUACACACGUGCUACAAUGGCAUAUACAAAGAGAAGCACCUCGCGAGAGCAAGCGGUCCUCAUAAAGUAUGUCGUAGUCCGGAUUGGAGUCUGCAACUCGACUCCAUGAAGUCGGAAUCGCUAGUAAUCGUAGAUCAGAAUUCUACGGUGAAUACGUUCCCGGGCCUUGUACACACCGCCCGUCACACCAUGGGAGUGGGUGGCAAAAGAAUUAGUUAGCUUAACGCUACAGGAGGGCGCUAACCACUAUGAUCAGUUUCC